UUGCCUCAUUCAAAGCGAUGCAUCAAUGAUGUCCUCUAAAAUUCGUCGCCUCCCUUUCUGAGCCAAAGUUUGACGAAAAGAGAAACAACCUAAAGGUGACCAGCGUAGCAUUUGUAUUUUGGAAAUCAGCAAGUGGAAGAUGGAGGUCUUUGAAAAAAAGAAGAAGGAGAUAUGAAAACACUGACCCGUCCGAUAGCCUCCCACAAGGAAGCAUUGAAAGAAGCAGCGGUGGUGAUGACUUGAGGGAAACUCGUGGCGGCAGGGAACGGCGGAGCGAACCUGGUCCCGGGACCCACAUUGGAAACCCCGUGCAGCGCCUCCGACCACCACUCGUAGCCUCUGAUCCCGAGCCGUGGAAUCGCCGCCGCAUUGUCGCCCAGCAGCUUCACCUUCUCUUGCAGCGUCAGCCUCCCGAUCAGGUCCCUCACCCUCUCCGCUAUGGGCAGCGACGCCCUGCAAAAAGCCAAGUUCUUGGUGUUGCCGUCUCUGGGAUUGCAGGCCAGAGGCUCUGCUGCCUCGCUCCUCUGCCCCACGACGCUCAGCAGUAUCAUCACCGCCAAGUACACUGUAACCAGUGACCACGUCGUUGACAGAGCCAUUUGUGGGAGGGAGGAAGAUGAGAGGAUAAGUGUGCGAGUGAAGGCAUGGAACCGCGGGGAGCGUUAUAUGUAUAUAUACAAUUAAUGAUAUCCAUAUCCAUUAUCAUGCA